rnacentral:lncRNA from 1 species
CUCAGUUCAGACUUCUCGCAUCCACUCUCAGCUUGUGUAGAGCAGCCCUGCCAUCUUCCUCCCCAGGAGCUGGGGCGGCUGCCCUCCCAUGUUUCUGGGGGACCAUAAGACAGAGGGACAUCCACUCUUGCAGAGGGCUCCUUGCUGUUGGGAGAGCCACUUACAGAGCAAUCUGUGUGCUGCAGGCCUGAGGUGGGAAUGGCAGCUGUGAGGGGGCUGGAGCCCACUAUUUUGUCAGGGAGGCACAGAGUACCAGGUCCAAGUGGGGCAUCAGGGAGAAAGCAGAAACUCUAGAAUCUAGAGCCCAUCGAGUGCCCUUGUGCAAAUUAGGAAAAGCUCCUAUGGUCAGAGGCUGAUCUGACCACACAUGGCAGCUACACAGGUGG